rnacentral:SRP_RNA from 1 species
CGGGUGCGGUGCAUGUGCCUGUAAUCCAAGUCAUGGGAGGCUGAGGUUGGUGGAUCAAGUGAGCUGAGGAGCUCUGGGCUGCAGCACGCUAUGUCGAACGGGUGUCCACGCUAAGUUCGGUAUCGAUAUGGUGUUCCUGGGGGAGCCCGGGACCACCAGGUUGUCUAAGGAGGGGUGAACCGGCCCAGGUCGGAAACGAAGCAGGUCAAAUCCCCCGUGCUGUCCAGUAGUGGGAUAAUACCUGUGAGUAGAUGCUGCAGUGCAGCCUUGGCAAAACAUUGAGACCUAGUCUUUU